GUUCGCGGAAGGGUCGGGACCUUAAUCUCCCCCCUCCCGCGGCGAAACAACGAACCCCGGCGCGGUCCGCGCCAAGGAAAAUCAAACGGGAGAGCGCGCUCCCGCCGCCCCGGAAACGGCGCGCGCGGGCUGCGUCGCCUUCUUCGAUCGUAAUCUAAAACGACUCUCGGCAACGGAUAUCUCGGCUCUCGCAUCGAUGAAGAACGUAGCGAAAUGCGAUACUUGGUGUGAAUUGCAGAAUCCCGUGAACCAUCGAGUCUUUGAACGCAAGUUGCGCCCCAAGCCGUCAGGCCGAGGGCACGUCUGCCUGGGUGUCACGCACCGUUGCCCCCCGCCCAACCCCCUCCGGGGGCGUUGCGGGCCGGGCGGGCGGAGACUGGCCUCCCGCGUUCUCCCAUUCGCGGUUGGCCCAAAUUCGAGUCCUCGGCGGCCCUGCCGCGACGAUCGGUGGUGAGAACGUAACGUCUCGAGCUCUCGUCGCGCGCGGGUGCCCCCGUGCUGUGGGCUCUCGGACCCCUUGCGCGCCCCUCGUUCGGGCGCUCGCUUCGCGACCCCAGGUCAGGCGGGAACACCCGCUGAGUUUAAGCAUAUCAAUAAGCGGAGGA
rnacentral:rRNA from 1 species